rnacentral:rRNA from 1 species
AAUGAACGUUGGCGGCGUGGAUUAGGCAUGCAAGUCGGACGCCCCUCGGGGGCGUGGCGAAAGGGUGAGUAAGGCGACGGCAACCAACCCCGCGGAGGGGGACAGCCACGGGAAACUGUGGGUAAUCCCCCAUGACGCCCGGGAGGGACAUCCUUCCCAGGCCAAAGGUGCGACUCCGCCGCGGGUGGGGCCGUCGUGGUAUCAGGUCGUUGGUGGGGUGACGGCCCACCAAGCCGAUGACGCCUAGCGGGCGUGCGAGCGUGGCCCGCCACACUGGGACUGAGACACUGCCCAGACACCUACGGGUGGCUGCAGUCGAGAAUCUUCGGCAAUGGUCGACAGACUGACCGAGCGACGCCGCGUGGAGGACGAAGGCCUUCGGGUUGUAAACUCCUGUCGAGGGGGAACAAGGGCCGGUGCAGAGCCGGCCUUGAGUGAUCCCUGGAGGAAGCACGGGCUAAGUUCGUGCCAGCAGCCGCCGUAAAA